GAUGAACGCUGGCGGCGUGCCUAAUACAUGCAAGUCGAGCGAACGGACGAGAAGCUUGCUUUUCUGAUGUUAGCGGCGGACGGGUGAGUAACACGUGGAUAACCUACCUAUAAGACUGGGAUAACUUCGGGAAACCGGAGCUAAUACCGGAUAAUAUUUUGAACCGCAUGGUUCAAAAGUGAAAGACGGUCUUGCUGUCACUUAUAGAUGGAUCCGCGCUGCAUUAGCUAGUUGGUAAGGUAACGGCUUACCAAGGCAACGAUGCAUAGCCGACCUGAGAGGGUGAUCGGCCGCACUGGAACUGAGACACGGUCCAGACUCCUACGGGAGGCAGCAGUAGGGAAUCUUCCGCAAUGGGCGAAAGCCUGACGGAGCAACGCCGCGUGAGUGAUGAAGGUCUUCGGAUCGUAAAACUCUGUUAUUAGGGAAGAACAUAUGUGUAAGUAACUGUGCACAUCUUGACGGUACCUAGUCAGAAAGCCACGGCUAACUACGUG
rnacentral:rRNA from 1 species